rnacentral:rRNA from 1 species
CCUACGGGAGGCAGCAGUAGGGAAUAUUGCUCAAUGGGGGAAACCCUGAAGCAGCAACGCCGCGUGGAGGAUGAAGGUUUUCGGAUUGUAAACUCCUUUUGAUAGAGAAGAUAAUGACGGUAUCUAACGAAUAAGCACCGUCUAACUCCGUGCCAGCAGCCGCGGUAAUACGGAGGGUGCAAGCGUUACUCGGAAUCACUGGGCGUAAAGAGGGCGUAGGCGGGAUAGCAAGUCAGAUGUGAAAUCCUAUGGCUUAACCAUAGAAGUGCAUUUGAAACUGUUAUUCUAGAGUAUGGGAGAGGUAGGUGGAAUUCGUGGUGUAGGGGUAAAAUGCUUAGAGAUCAAGAGGAAUACUCAUUGCGAAGGCGACCUGCUGGAACAUAACUGACGCUGAUGCUCGAAAGCGUGGGGAGCAAACAGGAUUAGAUACCCGGGUAGUC